AGCUUUGCACAGUGGUAGUAUCGUAGCCAAUGAGGUUAAUCCGAAGUGUGAUUAUUGCCAACUGAAACACAAUCUUCUACUUAUUUGCGUAGAAUAUUUGAUCUCUGUUGAU